AUAAGGUUAAGUGAAUAAGGGCGCACGGUGGAUGCCUUGGCACUAGGAGCCGAUGAAGGACGGGACUAACACCGAUAUGCUUUGGGGAGCUGUACGUAAGCUAUGAUCCAGAGAUUUCCGAAUGGGGAAACCCAACAUCUUUUAUAGGAUGUUACGUUUGCGUGAAUACAUAGCGCAUUCGAGGUAGACGCAGAGAACUGAAACAUCUAAGUACCUGCAGGAAGAGAAAGAAAAUUCGAUUCCCUGAGUAGCGGCGAGCGAAACGGGAAAAGCCCAAACCAAUGAGCUUGCUCAUUGGGGUUGUAGGACUCCAAUAUGGUAGUUCUUUCAGAUAAUCGAAUGACUUGGAAAAGUCAGUCAAAGAGGGUAAAAACCCCGUAGAUGAAAUUUGGAAGGCACCUAGGAGGAUCCUGAGUACGGCGGAACACGAGGAAUUCCGUCGGAAUCCGGGAGGACCAUCUCCCAAGGCUAAAUACUCCCUAGUGACCGAUAGUGAACCAGUACCGUGAGGGAAAGGUGAAAAGCACCCCGGAAGGGGAGUGAAAUAGAACCUGAAACCGUGUGCCUACAACAAGUCAAAGCCCGUUAAUGGGUGAUGGCGUGCCUUUUGUAGAAUGAACCGGCGAGUUACGAUUGCAUGCGAGGUUAAGUCGAAGAGACGGAGCCGCAGCGAAAGCGAGUCUGAAUAGGGCGUUUGAGUAUGUAGUCGUAGACCCGAAACCAUGUGAUCUACCCAUGUCCAGGUUGAAGGUGCGGUAAAACGCACUGGAGGACCGAACCCACGUACGUUGAAAAGUGCGGGGAUGAGGUGUGGGUAGCGGAGAAAUUCCAAACGAACUUGGAGAUAGCUGGUUCUCUCCGAAAUAGCUUUAGGGCUAGCCUCGGAUUUGAGAAUGAUGGAGGUAGAGCACUGUUUGGACUAGGGGCCCAUCUCGGGUUACCGAAUUCAGAUAAACUCCGAAUGCCAUUCAUUCAUAUCCGGGAGUCAGACUGUGAGUGAUAAGAUCCAUAGUCGAAAGGGAAACAGCCCAGACCACCAGCUAAGGUCCCAAAAUAUAUGUUAAGUGGAAAAGGAUGUGGGGUUGCACAGACAACUAGGAUGUUGGCUCAGAAGCAGCCACCAUUUAAAGAGUGCGUAAUAGCUCACUAGUCGAGUGACCCUGCGCCGAAAAUGUACCGGGGCUAAACAUAUUACCGAAGCUGUGGAGUACACCAUUAGGUGUAUUGGUAGGAGAGCGUUCUAAGGGCGUUGAAGGCAGAUCGUGAGGACUGCUGGAGCGCUUAGAAGUGAGAAUGCCGGUAUGAGUAGCGAAAGACAGGUGAGAAUCCUGUCCACCGAAUGACUAAGGUUUCCUGGGGAAGGCUCGUCCGCCCAGGGUUAGUCGGGACCUAAGCCGAGGCCGACAGGCGUAGGCGAUGGACAACAGGUUGAUAUUCCUGUACUCGUUGUUUUUGUUUGAGCAAUGGAGGGACGCAGGAGGCUAAGGAAUGCAGACGAUUGGAAAUGUCUGUCCAAGCAGUAAGUCUUGAUAGGAGUCAAAUGCUUCUGUCUACACGGAUAAGCUGUGAUGGGGAGGGAAAUAAUAGUACCGAAGUUCCUGAUGUCACACUGCCAAGAAAAGCUUCUAGUGAGAAAACAAUGACCCGUACCGCAAACCGACACAGGUAGUCGAGGAGAGAAUCCUAAGGUGAGCGAGAGAACUCUCGUUAAGGAACUCGGCAAAAUGACCCCGUAACUUCGGGAGAAGGGGUGCUGAUCUUUGAUCAGCCGCAGUGAAUAGGCCCAAGCGACUGUUUAUCAAAAACACAGGUCUCUGCAAAAUCGUAAGAUGAAGUAUAGGGGCUGACGCCUGCCCGGUGCUGGAAGGUUAAGAGGAGUGCUUAGCGUAAGCGAAGGUACGAAUUGAAGCCCCAGUAAACGGCGGCCGUAACUAUAACGGUCCUAAGGUAGCGAAAUUCCUUGUCGGGUAAGUUCCGACCCGCACGAAAGGCGUAACGAUUUGGGCACUGUCUCAACGAGAGACUCGGUGAAAUUUUAGUACCUGUGAAGAUGCAGGUUACCCGCGACAGGACGGAAAGACCCCAUGGAGCUUUACUGUAGUUUGAUAUUGAGUGUCUGUACCGCAUGUACAGGAUAGGUAGGAGCCGUAGAAAUCGGAACGCUAGUUUCGAUGGAGGCGCUGGUGGGAUACUACCCCUGCGUUAUGGCCACUCUAACCCGCACCACUGAUCGUGGUGGGAGACAGUGUCAGAUGGGCAGUUUGACUGGGGCGGUCGCCUCCUAAAAGGUAACGGAGGCGCCCAAAGGUUCCCUCAGAAUGGUUGGAAAUCAUUCGAAGAGUGUAAAGGCAGAAGGGAGCUUGACUGCGAGACCAACAAGUCGAGCAGGGACGAAAGUCGGGCUUAGUGAUCCGGUGGUUCCGCAUGGAAGGGCCAUCGCUCAACGGAUAAAAGCUACCCUGGGGAUAACAGGCUUAUCUCCCCCAAGAGUCCACAUCGACGGGGAGGUUUGGCACCUCGAUGUCGGCUCGUCGCAUCCUGGGGCUGUAGUCGGUCCCAAGGGUUGGGCUGUUCGCCCAUUAAAGCGGCACGCGAGCUGGGUUCAGAACGUCGUGAGACAGUUCGGUCCCUAUCCGUCGCGGGCGUUGGAAAUUUGAGAGGAGCUGUCCUUAGUACGAGAGGACCGGGAUGGACUUACCGCUGGUGUACCAGUUGUUCUGCCAAGGGCAUUGCUGGGUAGCUAUGUAGGGAAGGGAUAAACGCUGAAAGCAUCUAAGUGUGAAGCCCACCUCAAGAUGAGAUUUCCCAUUUCUUUAAGAAAGUAAGAUCCCUGAGAGAUGAUCAGGUAGAUAGGUCAGGAGUGGAAGGCCAGUGAUGGUUGGAGCGGACUGAUACUAAU
rnacentral:rRNA from 1 species